rnacentral:lncRNA from 1 species
GUUUGCAGUAUCUUUGCUGGGAUGCACACAACUUAAGUUGUAAUUGUGAUAAAUGUUUGCAUCUCCCAUAGACCAAGACUCUUUGUGAGAGUGAAAAACACUACAGCAAUCAUGGGCGGUGCUUUGGUAUCACAUUAUCUCUGAAUAAAAUCACUGAUGUUGGAAUAGACAGGGACCUGGUGAACUGCAAAACCCAAGGCUCUCAUGGCUUUGGACCAAGACUGCAUUGGAACUUUGCCACAAUCCAGGGAGUGGGGAGCUGUGGAAUGUCUAGAGCAAGAACUCCCUCAUAUGUGCAUGUGUCACUCCCCUGGAGAAGCUGUUGAUGACCCCAGAUUCCAGGUCAUCUCCUACUACAGGAACAGCAGAAACACUGGGGGUUACAACUGCAAUGGUGUCAAGGCUUUCAGUCAGAGCCCUUACAUUGUGAUCUAGGACAGUGAUUGGAACUUUGCUGAGUUCUUGAGUUCCCGGAUGUUGGACAAUGCCUCCCCAGUGAGCAGAU